GGCAGCCAGGAAUAUCACUGUCUGGAUGACUGUUUUCAGACUGUAACCCGCCAGGCUCCUCUGUCCGUGGGAUUCUCCAGGCAAGAAUAUUGGAGUUGGUUGCCAUUUUAUUCUCCAGGGGAUCUUCCAGACCCAGGAAUUGAGCUGUCAUCUCCUACAUUGGCAGAGAAACCAAGAUUGACGCUGAUGAUGAC